rnacentral:rRNA from 1 species
AUAACGACUCUCGGNAACGGAUAUCUCGGCUCUCGCAUCGAUUAAGAACGUAACA